AGGUCUAACAAGAGACUUAGUGCACAAGUCUGUAAUCGGGAUGGGAUUAAAGUCCAUUUAAUUUUGUAAUGAUGAGACUGUUGGAUUAGUGUCUAAGUCCAUAACUAUUUUGGUAUGUACUUGACCCGAUGGUGCAUGGUCCUUUUAGGUUGCCUUCACCGAAGCAACUUGAUAGGAUGAAUUAUGGAGAGAAAGGAUUAAAUAUGAUUUAUUAAUAUAUUAUGAGAAUAAUAUAUUAAAGGAGAAAUCAUAUUGUUUAAUUAAUAUUAGUCAAUAAUUAAUUGGUAAUUAGUUUUGUGACUAAAAGAGAUUAAUUAAAUUUAAGGGACUGGAAUUGUAAUUAUAAGAUAAUUGCAAUUUGGGCCAUGGAUUGCCUUUUAUUAUAAAGGUGGACGAAUUCUAAUGGGGAAGCCCAUAUGAAGUCGUCCAAGGCUUUAAGAAAGGGCUCCAUGGGUUGCUUAGGGCUUAAGAAACCAAAUUAGGGUUUCCUUGUUAGAUAACCCUAAUAGCCUCACUAUAUAUAGAACCCUUAAGGCUCAAAAACGUGGGGAACUUCUUUUCUAGGGUUAGAACACGUUUUGGGCAGCCUCCAUCCUCUCUCCUCUUCAUCCUCUUGCUUAUGGUGUUUGUAAGCCAUUAGAGGAGUGACACUUGUGACUCUAAGCCUUCCAAAGUCAAUUCAAGGAGGAAUUGGGAUUGUUAUUGCUACAUAACAAUCAAGGUAAUAUCUUAAACCUAAUUAUAUGUUAAUAUUGAUUUCCAUAUGCUAGAAUUAGGGUUUAUAGUCUUGGAUUCAAAGCAUGUACAAUAGAGAAACCUAGAUCCAAGCAUUAGGGUUUGUAUGAGCACAUAGGAUGUCUUAUGACCAAAACCCAUCAGUGGUAUCAGAGCCUAGACUGGUUUCAAUUGUAUUGAUGCAUUACAUGUUCAAAAAAUUCAAUUUUUUGGUUUCUGGAGGCUGGACUCGCCGAGUCCAUAGCUGAACUCGCCGAGUCCAUGCAGACUCGACGAGUCCAAGCCUGACUCGACGAGUCAACUCGUCAGAUGGAGGGUAUUUCGGGAUUUCUUGCUGUUUUUGCUUAUGGAUAGUUACCUUAUCAUGUUAGAUCAAUAUUAAUCCGAUUAUAUGAUAUAUUUGACUAUAUUUUUGAUCUAAUUGAAGAUAUUUAUCAAUUAAUAAGAUAAUUGUUUCCUUAUGUGAUAAUUGAUUAAUUAUUUUGAUUAAAUUGAUAAAUUGUUUUGCAAGAAAUCAUUAAAUAAAUCAAAUAUGGAUAAUUAUGUGAUUAAAUGUUAAUUUAGAUUAUUUGUUAUUUGAUCCUUGUUGUUAUGAAAAGUUUCAUAUUUUCCCCUUUAGGUUUUAUAGUUUAAAUUUGAACCCAAAAGUUUUGUUGUUUUGAAAUUUAAAUAGUUGAAACCCUAAUGUUUUGAAAAAGGUUUCAAAACUUGCCCUCAAGUUUUGGAAUUUAAAUUUUGAUUAAAUAGUUUAAUUUUGAUGUAUAUUUAAAUUCUAAACCCUAAUGUGUUGAAAUGUUUCAAAACUUGCCCUCAAGUUUUGGAAUUUAAAAGUUGAUUAAAAGUUUAAUUAGGAAUGUUAAAUUCUAAAACUCUAGUAUAGUUUUGAAAAAGUUCAAAUCACACCCUUAUGGUUUUAUUAAUUAAUUAAGGUGUAUAAUUAAAAGAGGUUUAAUAAAUCCAUAAAAGUUUAGGUUUACAAUUUAAUUGAAUUAAAAGUAUAAUUGUUAAAUUUGACCACCUAGUAUUUUAAAAGUGUAAAAUACACCCUAUACUAUAUAUAACAUUAAAAGUCUAACAUUAUAUAUAUGUAUGAGUAAAAGUCAGUCUUACCGUUAGUAGGCCUCAUUCACGAAGCUGGUCUAUAAGGGGUGUUUAAGGAAAUUGCCUAUAAAAUGGCGAUUGAAUGGGUAUCCACUCUUACCCACCGCACUCUUGACUAGUGGAGGGUCGUUAGCCGAACGGGUAGGAUAGGACGAAACCUUCCAUUAUAAGUAUAAUGAAGUAUAAAAGUAACUAAAUGUUUUCAUAAAAUUCCCAAUCUUAGUUACUUAGGCAAAAGUGAAUUGAUGCAAUUCCAUGAAAUUACACUUUGUGCCCUUGCGAAGACGUUAGUGGAGCGUGUGUGGUUUACCGGCACACUAAAUGGUUCUAAGCAAAGGUAGCAAAGGGUGACUCAAUGUUUGUCAUAGUUCGGUGGAGCGUGUGUGGUUUACCGGCACAUCGAAUAGGUGACUGUAACAUGUGAGGGCACCAUGUAAGUUUGCAUGGUUAUUCACACCCGCUUUGUGAUCCUCGGCAUCCCAGUCACAAACAAGAGGGGCAUAUCGAGAUUUAAACAUGCCAUUGAAAGUUCAAUGAAUCUCAAAGGAUCUAGGAGUUUUCAUAGAUUUAAAACUUAAAUUUCUUUUUCGUUUUUCGUGGUGGAAAUUAGUGAAUCGUCAUUCACUUACCUUCAAAUAUUCUGCAAUUAGGGUUACGGCAUCCCUCUCCCGAGUUGUAGAAUAUUGUGUUGGGUCCUAGCCUUAGUAUCUCAUUUGGGUGAUUUACUAAGGACUCAAUCAAUCAACUAACUUGAAUUCGUUUUCUCCCGUUUUGUAGAUGUCAAAGUUCGACAACUAUGGUCUUCCCAAAUCCCGUGGAACAAGCAUUCCACAUGAAGAUGAUAUUCCACGAUUCGAUCGAGGAACAAGAAAUCAUGCUUCACUUCCUCCACCUCCUCCAAUUAUUCUCCCUAACCCACAAGUUCAAAGGCUUGAAAAGUUCAAGAUCACUCAAGCCCUUUUGGCAAGUAAACAUAAAGAAGGAAAGUCGGUGUGUGCACACGUCCUAGGGAUGAAGUCACACAUUGAUAGGUUAAGAAUGUUGGGAUCCGUUGUCUGUGAGGAAAUGGCUGUUGAUUGGGUUCUUCAGUCACUUCCUAACUCAUAUAGUGAGUUCGUAAGAGAGUACUAUAUGAUGAACCGCGACGUGACCCUUAUAGAUCUCACCUAUAUGCUUAUUGCUGCUGAAUCAGCAAUGGUUUGGCGCAAUAGAAAAGCAAAGUUGAUUGGUGAAUCUGCCUUCAAGACCUCUAUGGAUAUAGACAAUGGCAACGAAAGACAUGCUAUGAUCGAAAAGUUUGAUCAUAAGAGAAAGGCAAUGUCUGAAGUAGUUCCAUGUCAUGUUCCAAAAGAGUCAAUUUGCUUUUAUUGCCAAGAGAAAGGGCAUUGGAGACGAAGCUGCCCCAUUUACCUAAGAGAUCUAAGAGAUGGGAGAGUCGAAACGUAUGGCUCUAAUAUAGGUAAAAUCCAUUAACUAACUCUUUUAAGCUUCUAUUCUAGAUUCUUAAUACAUAAUGUGAUAAGAUUACAAUUGAUGUUUUGUAGGAUCGAAGAAAAGAAAGGAAGCUUAAGGGAAGAAGUGAGCAGAAUCUAACCGUGAAGGAAUGGAUUUCGAUCGCAUUUCUCGAAGAUUAGAUUCUUGAGCUACUACUUAGAGUUAGAAUUAGAUUGCUAAGAAAGAUGUAUUAGCAUAAGUUUUUCAAUGAAUUGCAUUGUAAGGACAAAUUUUUCCGCAAUAAAAUAAAUUUUGAUUUUAAAUUUUAUUUAUUUAUCCUUACAAUGGCGUGUAUGAAAAAUUGAUGUUAAAAUGUUUCUAUUAUUAGCAAUAAUGGAUUUGGUUCUUAUUAUGUUAUUUAUGGAAAGUCGAGAAUUUACCAAAUAGGGAGAGUUUCUCAUCGCCCAAGUUUCAAUUGGACAGAAACUUGGAAUCAUGCAACUUGGUUGCACGAUGAAUGAGAAAUUUCAUAUUUGGAAAUUAGACUAAUUCAUUGACAAAGUGUCAAGUGAAGGACUAGGAGAUCGAGUACACAAAGUUGCGUGUUGAUCAAGUCCACCAUAAGAGUAACAAAGAUAUUCGUCAUGAUUUACUAAAGGUUUAGUAAAUAUGAUUAUACUUAUAAGAUUAAGUGUAAUUCUGAAUUGAUUGAAAAGGUUUAAAUCAAUAGCAGAACGAAUAAGAAGAAUCAAGUAGGCAGAAAGAUAAAAGUUUCUCCAUUCUAAGAAGAAGGGAGAGUACCUUUUAUGCUUUAUGAUAGGUCUUAAUGAUUAAGAACCAUAUCUCAAUUGAUCCUCUAAGUGAGUCUUAGUACAAUUGUAUGUCUAAGAAGAGGAAUCAAGAAUUGAAGAAAUGGUUAAAUCAAUAAGUCAAUCAUACUUCGUUCCAAUAACAAGUCUUAAAGUUAAGAUUGUGACAUUGAGUGAAAGGUAUUAAGAAGGUUUAUAACAUUCAUUAAAUGUGGAAAGUUGUGAUGUCUUGGAUAAGACAAAGACCAACUAGGACCAAUUUAUGAAGUGUUUUGAUAAAAGCUACACUAACUCUUGAAUAUUUGUUUGUCAAGAAAUGGUUAUUGACAAGAGAAUCUUAUAUGUCAAGGAGUCAGUGGGAGUCUUAAUGGUCUUGAAAGGUUUCAAGAACAAAUCAAAUAAACCUUAUCGAUCAUCACUAGCACACGAGUUGAGGUUUACAACCUAUCGUGUUGACAUUAUUUUGAUUCUGUGCCAAUCCAAUCGAGUUAAUUAUGCAUGUGAGUUCUAUGAGUUCUCAUUUUGAACGCAUAAAAGGCAAAGCACCUUAAUCAAUGAAAGGUACAUUGAUAGGAAAAGGUGAGCUGCUUAACUACUUGGAAGACAUGGUGGGCAGCUGUGCUACCAUAAGGCAAGAAAUCAAGAUUAAGAAAGUUCGGUCCAUAUGAGUUUGAAUUUGUCGUAAACUUUGGUUUUAACAAAUUCACAUGGAUAGGAACACAUACACCGUUUAAAUCUAAGUGUCAUAAGAUUUCCUCCUUCAUGAAAAUGAUUGUGAGGAAAUGCUUUCACUAAGAAAGAUUUUAAGAAGAUAGUGAUUGUAAAAUUGCAUUCUCGAAUUCAAUUAUGGUUACGGCAUCCCUUUCCAUAAUUUGAAUUGUGAGGUUUGGCAAUUAGUCUUAAUUGUUUAGACACACAUAUGAACUAUCGAAGGCAAAGGUGUAUAAGUUCAAGAAGCCUUGAUAAAAGAUUAUCAAAGCACUAAGUAUUAGAAACAUGGACUUAAGAAAUUCAAUAGGUAUUGUUUUUCUGAAAGUUAAGAUGUUUAUGAAUACAUGUCGAAGCUAGUGGGAGCAUAAGUGUUAUGUUUUAUAAUAAUCAUCAUGAUAGUGGGAGCAUAAAUGUUAUGAUUGUAUGAUUAUUAAGGCACGUAUUGCAAGUUGGCAAUAUUAAUUAUAGAAAACAAGAGUUAUACCUUGCAAAGUCGUAAGGGUUGAAAAGUUGUUUUGCUAUAAUUAAGGGAGAGAAUAUUAUGCUUCAUUUCAAAUCUAAAGGAUUAGGUUGAGAAAUGUUAAUAAAUUUAGUCAAAGGUACAUAGUGUGUUCUUAAAAUUUCGAUUAUGAUUACGGCAUUCCUCUUCACAAUUCGAAUUUUGAGAACAUAGCAAAUAAAACAUUAUGCGUCGUGUCCCAUACGCUUCGGGUAUAGGAUCGAUUGCAAAUGCUUUAAUGUUUGACCAUUCUAAAAUUUUCCAAAUGUCUAGCGCAUUUAGAGGGAAAAAGGACUAGAAUCGGUUUUGACUAAAAUAAUUAAACAACUAUCAAAGGACAAUCCAAAGUUCGACGAGGAUUGGUCGCUUGUGAGUAGUUGGAAGUAUAGUAUUGGAAAAUAUGGAAAUGUUUCCAUAUUGGAUGGACCAUAUCGACAUCAUUACGAAUAGAUAAGAUUCUAUUAAGAAUGAGUUGUCAUAUGGAAAAUAUGGAAGCGUGUCCAUAUUGGGAAUUGAAUAUUGAAAAUCUAUGUCUAGAUUAGAAACUUUUAUGCAAAAGGAUGUUCAAAGGAAUGUACUUUGAGUGAGAGACAUCAUAUCUAAGGAAUUGUCUUGUAACAAUCUCCGAUAGAGGACUUUGUAAUAUCAUUGGCAAUAGUCUUUGUGACUUUGGUGCAGUGACAUUACGAAAGGAUCAUUGCAUAAAAUGUUAGAAUCUAGCAUAUUCUAUAAGUAGCAAGAAUUUGAUAUUCUUUCACUUAUGAAAAAGGAUUUGGAGUUGUGAAAUGAGAAUGAUUGGAAAUGUGUUCAAUUUGAUCUAUUUCACAAAGUAAGAACCAUAGGUAAACAUUGUGUGCAUGCUAGGAGCAUGGGACAAGUGUAAUAAUUCAAGUAAGAAGUUGAUUACCCGAAACGACAAAUAAUGAGUAAUCGAUAUGGUGAUAAAUAAAAGGUGUUUUAUUUAUACUCAAAGGUUUGAGGCCAUAUGGGAUUAGUAUUAUUCUUGUGUUUCACUUUGCAUGUUUUGACUUCCUGAAUAAUUUAAUUGGUUAAGAACAGUCAAAUUAUUCGAACGGGCCACAGUCGUUCAUAUGUUGGAAGUAGGUAUGAAUGAAGACUGUCGUGAAUUGGUGUGUGGAUUGUCUAAAGAGUAUUAGACAUAAGCAAAUGUUUGCUGCAACGUUCAUGAGUGCUUAUGAAUAUGAUUUGAGCAUUGGAUUAAACCCACGCUCACUUGGAUCACUCCAUGAAUUGUAUCACGAGUGAUUGGUGAGACGAUAACAUCUUAUAUUCUUGAAACCGAGAUGUGUGAGUUGUAUCUUGCAAAUCGGUUGCACAUUGAUAAUAUGUAAACGCACUAGUAACUUGGUGUUAUAAAACAUAUUGUUGUGUGUGAUUCGGUGAGUGAGUGCAAGCAAGCAUUGUAUCAAAGUUUAUCCGUUCCUUUUAUCCAAAGUAGGAUAAAAGCGAUAUCUUUGGGCCCCUCGAUGAUUUAGUGAUGACAAACGUAAAUGCUCGGCCGGGCUAGGGCUAAUUUGAUUUGUUCAAUUAGUCAGUCGUCAUAAAUCGGGAAUCGAGAUAUAGUACAAAGAGAAUGAUUUGAAAUCAUAUCUCAUAUGAUAUCUAGAAUGGAGGAAUAUAUGAUCCCUUAUCUAAGGACACGCGUAUCUGAUAGGAUCAGAGUUGACAGCGGCUUUGGAAAGCUACGAUUGCAGAUCAGGAUCUGAAGUCAUACGCAUAAUAGUUAUUAGACUUAUCCAAGUGGGAGACUGUUGGAUUAGUGUCUAAGUCCAUAACUAUUUUGGUAUGUACUUGACCCGAUGGUGCAUGGUCCUUUUGGGUUGCCUUCACCAAAGCAACUUGAUAGGAUGAAUUAUGGAGAGAAAGGAUUAAAUAUGAUUUAUUAAUAUAUUAUGAGAAUAAUAUAUUAAAGGAGAAAUCAUAUUGUUUAAUUAAUAUUAGUCAAUAAUUAAUUGGUAAUUAGUUUUGUGACUAAAAGAGAUUAAUUAAACUUAAGGGACUGGAAUUGUAAUUAUAAGAUAAUUGCAAUUUGGGCCAUGGAUUGCCUUUUAUUAUAAGGUGGACGAAUUCUAAUGGGGAAGCCCAUAUGAAGUCGUCCAAGGCUUUAAGAAAGGGCUCCAUGGGUUGCUUAGGGCUUAAGCAACCAAAUUAGGGUUUCCUUGUUAGAUAAACCUAAUAGCCUCACUAUAUAUAGAACCCUUAAGGCUCAAAAACGUGGGGAACUUCUUUUCUAGGGUUAGAACACGUUUUGGGCAGCCUCCAUCCUCUCUCCUCUUCAUCCUCUUGCUUAUGGUGUUUGUGAACCAUUAGAGGAGUGACACUUGUGACUCUAAGCCUUCCAAAGUCA
rnacentral:lncRNA from 1 species